rnacentral:rRNA from 1 species
UACGUAGGGUGCAAGCGUUUAAUCGGAAUUACUGGGCGUAAAGCGUGCGCAGGCGGUUGUGCAAGACCGAUGUGAAAUCCCCCGGGCUUAACCUGGGAAUGGCAUUGGUGACUGCACGGCUAGAGUGUGUCAGAGGGGGGGUAGAAUUCCACGUGUAGCAGUGAAAUGCGUAGAGAUGUGGAGGAAUACCGAUGGCGAAGGCAGCCCCCCUGGGAUAACACUGACGCUCAUGCACGAAAGCGUGGGGAGCAACAGG